rnacentral:rRNA from 1 species
UACAGAGGUCUCAAGCGUUGUUCGGAUUCAUUGGGCGUAAAGGGUGCGUAGGCGGCGCGGUAAGUCGGGUGUGAAAUCUCGGAGCUUAACUCCGAAACUGCAUUCGAUACUGCCGUGCUUGAGGACUGGAGAGGAGACUGGAAUUUACGGUGUAGCGGUGAAAUGCGUAGAUAUCGUAAGGAAGACCAGUGGCGAAGGCGACAUCCUGGACCGGUAUUGACGCUGAGGCGCGAAAGCCAGGGGAGCAAACGGG